UACGUAGGGGGCAAGCGUUAUCCGGAUUUACUGGGUGUAAAGGGAGCGUAGACGGCAUAGUAAGUUUGAAGUGAAACCCCAGGGCUCAACCCUGGGCAUGCUUUGAAAACUAUUAAGCUAGAGUGUCGGAGAGGUAAGUGGAAUUCCUAGUGUAGCGGUGAAAUGCGUAGAUAUUAGGAGGAACACCAGUGGCGAAGGCGGCUUACUGGACGAUAACUGACGUUGAGGCUCGAAAGCGUGGGGAGCAAACAGG
rnacentral:rRNA from 1 species